rnacentral:rRNA from 1 species
GAUGAACGCUAGCGGCGUGCCUAACGCAUGCAAGUCGAACGGUUAAAGCUCCCUUCGGGGAGUGUAUAAAGUGGCGAACGGGUGAGUAACACGUGGAUACAUGCCCCAAAGUGGGGGACAACCAUUGGAAACGAUGGCUAAUACCCCAUAGGAUGGCUCUUUUGAGCUAAUCGAAAGCUCCGGCGCUUUGGGAGUGGUCUGCGGUCCAUCAGCUAGUUGGUAAGGUAAAGGCUUACCAAGGCGAAGACGGAUAGGGGGCGUGAGAGCGCGAACCCCCACACUGGUACUGAUACACGGACCAGAUACCUACGGGUAGCAGCAGCGAGGAAUAUUGCGCAAUGGGGGAAACCCUGACGCAGCAACGCCGCGUGGAGGAUGAAGGCCUUCGGGUCGUAAACUUCUUUUCUGACAGAAGAGAAAGGACGGUAUGUCAGGAAUAAGGCCCGGCUAACUACG